UGGGGAAUUUUGGACAAUGGGCGCAAGCCUGAUCCAGCCAUGCCGCGUGCGGGAAGAAGGCCUUCGGGUUGUAAACCGCUUUUGUCAGGGAAGAAAUCCUUUGAGCUAAUACCUCGUGGGGAUGACGGUACCUGAAGAAUAAGCACCGGCUAACUACGUGCCAGCAGCCGCGGUAAUACGUAGGGUGCAAGCGUUAAUCGGAAUUACUGGGCGUAAAGCGUGCGCAGGCGGUUAUGCAAGACAGAUGUGAAAUCCCCGGGCUCAACCUGGGAACUGCAUUUGUGACUGCAUAGAUGGAGUGCGGCAGAGGAGGACGGAAUUCCGCGUGUAGCAGGGAAAUGCGUAGGUAUGAGGAGGAACGACGAUGGCGAAGGAAGGCCCCUGGGCCUGCGCUGACGCACAUGCACGAAAGCGUGGGGGGCAAACA
rnacentral:rRNA from 1 species